rnacentral:rRNA from 1 species
CACGCCCUAAACGAUGGAUAUUAGUCAUUGGAAGUAUCGACCCUUUCAGUGGCGGUUAAAAUAGCUAACGCAUUAAAUAUCCCACCUGGGAAGUACGGCCGCAAGGCUAAAACUCAAAGGAAUUGACGGGGGCCCGCACAAGCGGUGGAGCAUGUGGUUUAAUUCGAAGAUAACCGGAAAACCUCACCAGGGCUUGAAAUGCAGUUGCACGACCGGGGAAACUCGGUCUCCUUCGAGGGUACUGCACAGGUGC